rnacentral:ncRNA from 2 species
AGUUUUCACUGGAGGUGCCCUUUACAAGGGCUGAGAUCGAAGUGUACUUCGGGACUCCCUGAACCUGAUCCAGUUCAUACUGGCGUAGGGAAGUGAGCAGACGCGCUU